CCGAGGUUUAGUUCCCAGAGCUCACGUGAUAGCUCAUAACUGUAUGUAACUCCUGGGAUACAUCGUGAUUUUUAGGUGAGUCUGGCUGUAAGUGAGACUCCAUUUCCAAAAGAAGGAAGAGGAGCGAGAGAAGCGGGAUGAGAUGGAAAGUCGCAGCAGCGGGAAAGAAGGGGAAAGGGGUUUAAAAUGGCCGAGGAGAUGCAGUUGGUUUUUUGUUUGUUUGUUUGGUUGGUUGGUUGUUUUUCUCAAAAUGGAUGUGUGAAUGGCCCAAGCCCAUGACGGGAUAGAUGUUCAGCAUACUGGGAGAGAAAAAUCAAAGUCACGACGAGAUAUGCAUUCUUCACUCAUAUCCCACAGGAAGGCUGGACUGAAGCAAAUGUUAAAGAGGAUGGGAGACCCCGAGUCGCUCCACACCCCUGCUGCUGGUGAUGGAGGCUCAACCAGCCAGGUCUCCUCCAAGUGUCGCCAUGGGACCCGAGGCCACAGAGCAUCGGGGGAGAGUGAAGCACAACGGUCUCGUCAGAGGUGCCAGCCUCUUUAAUGAAGAUGUCUUUUCCUGCUAUAGUUUGGACACAAGCACACAAGUUCACUACGGUGCUGUGAGCAGAACCCAGGGCUUCAUGUCUACUAGGUCUGGCAACCGCAGCUGCUGUGAGUUCCUCAAUGCAGCCUCCCCAUCAUGUUCAGAAGACAGUUUCUCCUCAGUCUCCUAACAUCUGGCUCUUACAAUCUGUCCCCCCCUCUUCUGAGACGAUCCCCGAGCCUUGGGGAGGGUGUGUGAUGGCUACAGCUUUAUGAAUAUAUGGGGACCAAGAGGGCAGCUCCACUGGUGAAGUGGUGAGAGCUGGGCGUGGUUUCAUGCACUUGCCAUUCAGUGCUAGGGAGGCAGAGGUGUGGUAUCCCUGAGGCUCACUCUUCCCCACUAUGUUCUGCCUCUCCACAGGCAUAAAAGCAGUGGAGCCAAUGGGGGACUAUCUAGAUGGAUAGAUCCUGAGAAAUAACCAUGGUUGUUCUCUGGCUGUCACCCUCUUGAACACACACACACACACACGUAUGCACACACACAUGCACAAAUACACAUAGACACAUGCACAUGCACACACUCACACACAUUCACUCAUACACAUGCACACAUAUACACACACACACGUAUGCACACACACAUGCACAAAUACACAUAGACACAUGCACAUGCACACACUCACACACAUUCACUCAUACACAUGCACACAUAUACACACGUACACACACAUUCACGCACACAUGUUCACUCAUACACAUGCACGCACACACAUACAUGUACCGACCCACACCAACACACAUACACACAUACAUACACACAUGCACUCACACACGUGUACAUAUACAUGCAUACAUACACACCUGUACCCACAUUCACCCACACAUAUACACACAUUCACUCAUACAUGUGCACUCACACACUUGCACAUGCAUGCACGCACACAUGUCUGCGGUUAUUCCCGUCAUUUAUUAUACCAUGCCCAGAAUCCCAUUGUAGCAUGGGCUACUUGCUCAGACUUACUCAAGGUUCCUGUAAUGCUCUUUUCUGUGUUUGUUUAGUGUUUGAAAGGAAUGCUGCUUCCUUCAAGGCCCGCAUAUCUGUUAAUUCAUGUGGCUAAUUGUUCUGUGAAUUCCCCUUUCCUUUACCCAUGCUUUUGAUCUGGCAUUACUGAUGAGGUAUGUUGAAGUCUCCCACUGUGCCUGUGCUUUAGAAAAUUUCUCCCCGUGUGUCUAGCAGCUUUUCUCCAUAUGCUCUGGAGCAAAAGGUUAAUAACUGUGAUGUGGUCUCAGUGGAUGUGUCUGUCUCGCCCUGUCGGGGCUCCGCUAAGGUCUCUGCCAAGCCUUGCAUCUAAUUUCUGAAUUCAAUUUCCUCCAAGAUUGUGUGGAGUUUUGCUCCUUAAGGAUUUAGGACAACAAAAGCAACUGCCUGACUUCUUAUGUCAAUGGAACGAAUUUUGAAAAACAGAAAGCAACAAGGCCCGCAACACCCACAUGAGGUCACCCUGGGGCUGCACCAUCCUCCUGCUCCAAGGCCUGCUGUCCCCUGAACCUUCCUCCCCACCACCCCAGAGACUCAGGCCUCUUCAGUAUUCACCAGAACUUGCUGGGCCCUGCCCCCUGAGGCCUGAGGCUUUUGAUGUGACUCCUGUGGGCACCCUAGGAGACACCUGCUUUGGGCUGGUCUUGGGGCGUCUCAUAGAUCAGGUGCUGUUUGCUAUUUUAAGAAGGCAGAGCGAGGGGCUGGGGAUUUAGCUCAGUGGUAGAGUGCUUACCUAGGAAGCGCAAGGCCCUGGGUUCGGUUCCCAGCUCCGAAAAAAAGAACCAAAAAAAAAAAAAAAAAAAAAAAAAAAAAAAAAAAGAA